rnacentral:rRNA from 1 species
GACGAACGCUGGCGGCGUGCUUAACACAUGCAAGUCACGGGGGCUCCGCAAGGAGCAACCGGCGAACGGGUGCGUAACACGUGACCAACCUGCCCUCGUGUGGGGGAUAGCCAUGCUAACGCGUGGGUAAUACCGCAUACGUUCUCUUGGGGGAGUCCCUGGGAGAGGAAAGCUCCGGCGCACGGGGAGGGGGUCGCGGCCUAUCAGCUUGUUGGCGGGGUAAUGACCCACCAAGGCGACGACGGGUAGCUGGUCUGAGAGGAUGGCCAGCCACAUUGGGACUGAGAGACGGCCCAGACUCCUACGGGAGGCAGCAGUGGGGAAUCUUGCGCAAUGGUCGAAAGACUGACGCAGCGACGCCGCGUGUGGGA